rnacentral:rRNA from 1 species
AUUGAACGCUGGCGGCAGGCCUAACACAUGCAAGUCGAACGAGUGGCGGACGGGUGAGUAAUGUCUGGGAAACUGCCUGAUGGAGGGGGAUAACUACUGGAAACGGUAGCUAAUACCGCAUACCAUCAGAUGUGCCCAGAUGGGAUUAGCUAGUUGGUGGGGUAACGGAUCACCAAGGCGACGAUCCCUCGCUGGUAUGAGAGGAUGACCAGCCACACUGUAACUGAGACACGGUCCAGACUCCUACGGGAGGCAGCAGUGGGGAAGAUUGCACAAUUGGGGCAAGCCGGAUGCAGCCCUGCCGCGUGUAUGGAGAAGUCCUUCGGGUCGUAAAGUACGUUUAGCGGGGAGGCAUUUACCGCAGAAGAAGCCCCGGCUAACUCCGUGCAAGCCGCCGCGGUAAUAC